CGAACGCUGGCGGCGUGCUUAACACAUGCAAGUCGAACGGUAAGGCUCUUCGGAGUACACGAGUGGCGAACGGGUGAGUAACACGUGAGCAACCUGCCCUUGACACUGGAAUAAGCGCUUGAAAAGGCGUCUAAUACCGGAUACGAACUCUUCAGGCAUCUGAAGAGUUGGAAAGCUCCGGCGGUCAAGGAUGGGCUCGCGGCCUAUCAGCUUGUUGGUGAGGUAACGGCUCACCAAGGCUUCGACGGGUAGCCGGCCUGAGAGGGCGACCGGCCACACUGGGACUGAGAUACGGCCCAGACUCCUACGGGAGGCAGCAGUGGGGAAUAUUGCACAAUGGACGCAAGUCUGAUGCAGCAACGCCGCGUGCGGGAUGACGGCCUUCGGGUUGUAAACCGCUUUCAGCAGGGACGAAGCGAAAGUGACGGUACCUGCAGAAGAAGGACCGGCCAACUACGUGCCAGCAGCCGCGGUGAUACGUAGGGUCCGAGCGUUGUCCGGAAUUAUUGGGCGUAAAGAGCUCGUAGGCGGUUUGUCGCGUCGGAAGUGAAAACUCAGUGCUCAACACUGAGCCUGCUUCCGAUACGGGCAGACUAGAGGAAUGUAGGGGAGAACGGAAUUCCUGGUGGAGCGGUGGAAUGCGCAGAUAUCAGGAGGAACACCGGUGGCGAAGGCGGUUCUCUGGACAUUUCCUGACGCUGAGGAGCGAAAGCAUGGGGAGCAAACAGGCUUAGAUACCCUGGUAGUCCAUGCCGUAAACGGUGGGCACUAGGUGUGGGUCACAUUCC
rnacentral:rRNA from 1 species